UCAUUAACGAAUACUGGAGAGUUGAUGACUGGCAAUAAACUAAUUGCAAGUGCUCACUGUCUUAAUUUCAUCUGCACCUGUGCACUCUUGUAUACAUGCUUGAAAGGAGCCCAAGUGGCUUGGUUCAGGCAUGUAGACAAAUCUCACAAACUCUUUAUAAUAAAUCCUGAAUGUUCUUUUGCUGCAAGGCAAAAACUUUAUAACAACUUUUAACAACGGAUCUCUUGGCUCUCGCAUCGAUGAAGAACGCAGCGAAAUGCGAUAAGUAAUGUGAAUUGCAGAAUUCAGUGAAUCAUCGAAUCUUUGAACGCACCUUGCGCUCCCUGGUAUUCCGGGGAGCAUGCCUGUUCGAGUGUCAUUACACUCUCAAGCCAGAUGGUUUCUUAUGAAUUCAUCUUGGUUUGGAUUUGGACUUUGCUGUGACUCUUGAAGGCAUAGCUGGUCUUAAAUAGAGUAGCUGGCCCAUUUGAAGGCUUGGUUCUACUUGGCGUGAUAAUUAUCUGGCGUCAAGGACAUUCUCUAGGGAGUGGCCAAUCUUUGUCUGGACUGCUUCUAACUGUCUUAGGACAAAUUUACUUACUGACAUCUGACCUCGAAUCAGGUAGGACUACCCGCUGAACUUAAGCAUAUCAAUAAGCGGAGGAAAAGAAACUAACAAGGAUUCCCCUAGUAACGGCGAGUGAAGCGGGAUGAGCUCAAAUUUAAAAUCUGGUGGUCUUUGGCCAUCCGAGUUGUAAUCUAGAGAAGCGUUUUCCGCGCUGGACYGURUACAAGUUUCCUGGAUACGGAACAUCAUAGAGGGUGAGAAUCCCGUCCUUGAUACAGACUCCCAGUGCUCUGUGAUGCGCUCUCGACGAGUCGAGUUGUUUGGGAAUGCAGCUCAAAAUGGGAGGUAAAUUCCUUCUAAAGCUAAAUAUUGGCGAGAGACCGAUAGCGAACAAGUACCGUGAGGGAAAGAUGAAAAGCACUUUGGAAAGAGAGUUAAACAGUACGUGAAAUUGUUAAAAGGGAAACGCUUGAAGUCAGUCGCGUCUGCUUGGACUCAGCCUUACUUUUGUUUGGUGCAUUUCCUUGUAGACGGGCCAGCGUCCAUGUUGUCCACUGGAAAAAGUGCAAGGGAAUGUGGCUCUUUCGGGAGUGUUAUAGCCCUUGUUCAAAUACAGAGGCUGAUAUGGAGUGGAACAGCACGCUCUGGUUGUGCUUGUGCUGGCAUAAUGGCUUUAAACGACCCGUCUUGAAACACGGACCAAGGAGUCUAACAUGUCUGCGAGUGUUUGGGUGGAAAACCCGAGCGCGUAAUGAAAGUGAUAGCUGGGAACCCCAUUAGGGAGGCACCGGCGCCCCGAGCUGACCUUCUGUGACGCAUCGGAGGUAGAGCAUAUAUGUUGGGACCCGAAAGAUGGUGAACUAUGCCUGAAUAGGGCGAAGCCAGAGGAAACUCUGGUGGAGGCUCGUAGCGAUUCUGACGUGCAAAUCGAUCGUCAAAUUUGGGUAUAGGGGCGAAAGACUAAUCGAACCAUCUAGUAGCUGGUUCCUGCCGAAGUUUCCCUCAGGAUAGCAGAAACUCGUAUCAGUUUUAUGUGGUAAAGCGAAUGAUUAGAGACCUUGGGGAUGAAACAUCCUUAAUCUAUUCUCAAACUUUAAAUAUGUAAGCUCAGGAUGCUUGCUUAAUUGAAGCACCUGUAAAUGAGAGUUUCUAGUGGGCCAUUUUUGGUAAGCAGAACUGGCGAUGCGGGAUGAACCGAACGCGAGGUUAAGGUGCCGGAAUACACGCUCAUCAGACACCACAAAAGGUGUUAGUNCAUCUAGACAGCAGGACGGUGGCCAUGGAAGUCGGAAUCCGCUAAGGAGUGUGUAA
rnacentral:rRNA from 1 species